GACGAACGCUGGCGGCGUGCUUAACACAUGCAAGUCGAACGGAAAGGCCCUGCUUUUGUGGGGUGCUCGAGUGGCGAACGGGUGAGUAACACGUGAGUAACCUGCCCUUGACUUUGGGAUAACUUCAGGAAACUGGGGCUAAUACCGGAUAGGAGCUCCUGCUGCAUGGUGGGGGUUGGAAAGUUUCGGCGGUUGGGGAUGGACUCGCGGCUUAUCAGCUUGUUGGUGGGGUAGUGGCUUACCAAGGCUUUGACGGGUAGCCGGCCUGAGAGGGUGACCGGCCACAUUGGGACUGAGAUACGGCCCAGACUCCUACGGGAGGCAGCAGUGGGGAAUAUUGCACAAUGGGCGGAAGCCUGAUGCAGCAACGCCGCGUGCGGGAUGACGGCCUUCGGGUUGUAAACCGCUUUCGCCUGUGACGAAGCGUGAGUGACGGUAAUGGGUAAAGAAGCACCGGCUAACUACGUGCCAGCAGCCGCGGUGAUACGUAGGGUGCGAGCGUUGUCCGGAUUUAUUGGGCGUAAAGGGCUCGUAGGUGGUUGAUCGCGUCGGAAGUGUAAUCUUGGGGCUUAACCCUGAGCGUGCUUUCGAUACGGGUUGACUUGAGGAAGGUAGGGGAGAAUGGAAUUCCUGGUGGAGCGGUGGAAUGCGCAGAUAUCAGGAGGAACACCAGUGGCGAAGGCGGUUCUCUGGGCCUUUCCUGACGCUGAGGAGCGAAAGCGUGGGGAGCGAACAGGCUUAGAUACCCUGGUAGUCCACGCUGUAAACGGUGGGUACUAGGUGUGGGGUCCAUUCCACGGGUUCCGUGCCGUAGCUAACGCUUUAAGUACCCCGCCUGGGGAGUACGGCCGCAAGGCUAAAACUCAAAGGAAUUGACGGGGCCCCGCACAAGCGGCGGAGCAUGCGGAUUAAUUCGAUGCAACGCGUAGAACCUUACCUGGGUUUGACAUGGAUCGGGAGCGCUCAGAGAUGGGUGUGCCUCUUUUGGGGUCGGUUCACAGGUGGUGCAUGGCUGUCGUCAGCUCGUGUCGUGAGAUGUUGGGUUAAGUCCCGCAACGAGCGCAACCCUUGUUCACUGUUGCCAGCACGUUAUGGUGGGGACUCAGUGGAGACCGCCAGGGUCAACUCGGAGGAAGGUGGGGAUGACGUCAAGUCAUCAUGCCCCUUAUGUCCAGGGCUUCACGCAUGCUACAAUGGCUGGUACAGAGAGUGGCGAGCCUGUGAGGGUGAGCGAAUCUCGGAAAGCCGGUCUCAGUUCGGAUUGGGGUCUGCAACUCGACCUCAUGAAGUCGGAGUCGCUAGUAAUCGCAGAUCAGCAACGCUGCGGUGAAUACGUUCCCGGGGCU
rnacentral:rRNA from 1 species